UGUAGCGGUGAAAUGCGUAGAUAUUGGGAGGAAGACCAGUGGCGAAGGCGUUCUGCUGGGCCGUAACUGACACUCAGAGACGAAAGCUAAGGGAGCAAAUAGGAUUAGAUACCCUAGUAGUCUUAGCUGUAAACGAUGCACACUAUGUUUUGCAAUUUGCAGAGCAAAAGUUAACGCGUUAAGUGUGCCGCCUGGGGAGUACAUUCGCAAGGAUGAAACUCAAAGGAAUUGACGGGGACCCGCACAAGCGGUGGAGCAUGUG
rnacentral:rRNA from 1 species